UCGGANGAUGAAGCCCUUUCGGGGGUGGAUUAGUGGCGAACGGGUGAGUAACACGUGAGCAACCUGCCCUUGACUCUGGGAUAAGCCUGGGAAACUGGGUCUAAUACCGGAUAGGACUCCUCAUCGCAUGGUGGGGGGUGGAAAGCCUUGUGCGGUCUUGGAUGGGCUCGCGGCCUAUCAGCUUGUUGGUGGGGUGAUGGCCUACCAAGGCGACGACGGGUAGCCGGCCUGAGAGGGUGACCGGCCACACUGGGACUGAGACACGGCCCAGACUCCUACGGGAGGCAGCAGUGGGGAAUAUUGCACAAUGGGCGGAAGCCUGAUGCAGCGACGCCGCGUGGGGGAUGACGGCCUUCGGGUUGUAAACCCCUUUCAGCAGGGAAGAAGCGGAAGUGACGGUACCUGCAGAAGAAGCGCCGGCUAACUACGUGCCAGCAGCCGCGGUAAUACGUAGGGCGCGAGCGUUAUCCGGAAUUAUUGGGCGUAAAGAGCUCGUAGGCGGCUUGUCGCGUCUGCUGUGAAAGCCCGGGGCUCAACCCCGGGUCUGCAGUGGGUACGGGCAGGCUGGAGUGCAGUAGGGGAGACUGGAAUUCCUGGUGUAGCGGUGAAAUGCGCAGAUAUCAGGAGGAACACCGAUGGCGAAGGCAGGUCUCUGGGCUGUAACUGACGCUGWGNAGCGA
rnacentral:rRNA from 1 species